AGGGCACGGGCCGGGGGUGACACCGGGCCCGGGCCCGGCCCGCCGGGUGGGUGCCGGGGGUGAGCCCGGGGAGGGUAAGGCCCGGCCCGCCGGGUAAGCGAGUGCCGGGCAGGCGUCUCUGCGGCCGGCACAGGGCGAUUCUCCGGUCGUGGGGCCGAGCCUGGCGGCGUGCCCCGAGGAAGAGCCUGCGAAAGGAUUCAGCUGCUGGAUCUCAAAGAGUGCUGGGAGUGGAGCUGGGGAGCAGAAGGGAUGACUCCUGCCAAGGAAGAUGAUGUCUGCAGCCAUGUCAAAGUGGUGGUCCGUGUCCGCCCAGAGAGCCAGAAGGAAAAGCAGGGCAGCUUCAGCAGGGUGGUGCGUGUCAUCGACCAGCACGUGCUGGUCUUUGAUCCAAAGGAGGAGGAGAGUGACCCACAGGCAUACCUUUAACAUGAUUAUACCCUUACACAUUAAGACCUGAAAGGACCAUCCAUUUCCUUUCUCGUAAAAAGCUCCAAAAAGGCAGGUUGUGUAGGAGACAAUCUACAUAACAUGUAGUUCAUUUUAAGGCUAUGCUGCAAAAAUAAAACCUUUUUUUUAUAGCCAAAAUGAUAGGGGAAACAGCACUGUCAAAGCAGGAAUAACAAAUGGAACAUUUUAUAUUUCUUUGCUUUACUAUGAGUUCUUUACAUUCCUACAGCCUGGCUUCAAAUGUCUUCAAAACUACAGGAAUAACUUUGUGAAACCCCAAGAUAUGAACUUGGUGUCUUCUGCAUACUUUCAAGGCCUUUCAUACAUAUCUCCUUUAUAUAUAUCCAUUCAUCCAUCCAUCUAUCCAUCUUCCUCUUUUCCAGAGGAAAAAGUUCAUUCUUCUAUUCAGAUUAUAGAAGCCAACACUCUAAAUACAGGAAUAUAAGAGAAGCCAUAACACAGAACUAAAUAAAUGCAGACAGAUUUUAAAAUAUUUCAAAGUUAUAAGGUGAUGAAAUACUCUGACUUUUUAUGAUAAUGAUAUAAAUCUUGAGAAAAUGUAAAACUUAAAGUUGCAAUUCUCUUUGACUGCAUAAAAAUCAGAAUCACAUAAUUUGUUGAGGUUUCCAAACUUUAAGCUGCCUUAUUUUACAAGAAAAAGUUAUGAAUUUACCACAUGGAAAUUGCAUUUAAUAGAAAUGGAGACUGACUCCUAAUUGCUCAUUGCAAGUGAGCACUAGAAAUUGGAUUUAUUUUUGCAUAUUGCAAUCUAAAUAUUGUA